GACGAACGCUGGCGGCGUGCUUAACACAUGCAAGUCGAACGGAAAGGCCCUGCUUUUGUGGGGUGCUCGAGUGGCGAACGGGUGAGUAACACGUGAGUAACCUGCCCUUGACUUUGGGAUAACUUCAGGAAACUGGGGCUAAUACCGGAUAGGAGCUCCUGCUGCAUGGUGGGGGUUGGAAAGUUUCGGCGGUUGGGGAUGGACUCGCGGCUUAUCAGCUUGUUGGUGGGGUAGUGGCUUACCAAGGCUUUGACGGGUAGCCGGCCUGAGAGGGUGACCGGGCACAUUGGGACUGAGAUACGGACCAGACCCCUACGGGAGGCAGCAGUGGGGAAUAUUGCACAAUGGGCGGAAGCGUGAUGCAGCAGCGCCGCGUGCGGGAUGACGGCCUUCGGGUUGUAAACCGCUUUCGCCUGUGACGAAGCGUGAGUGACGGUAAUGGGUAAAGAAGCACCGGCUAACUACGUG
rnacentral:rRNA from 1 species